AUUGAACGCUGGCGGCAUGCCUUACACAUGCAAGUCGAACGGUAACAGGUCUUCGGAUGCUGACGAGUGGCGAACGGGGGAGUAAUACAUCGGAACGUGCCCGAUCGUGGGGGAUAACGGAGCGAAAGCUUUGCUAAUACCGCAUACGAUCUACGGAUGAAAGCAGGGGACCGCAAGGCCUUGCGCGGACGGAGCGGCCGAUGGCGGAUUAGGUAGUUGGGGGGAUAAAAGCUUACCAAGCCGACGAUCUGUAGCUGGUCUGAGAGGGGGACCAGCCACACUGGGACUGAGACACGGCCCAGACUCCUACGGGAGGCAGCAGUGGGGAAUUUUGGACAAUGGGCGAAAGCCUGAUCCAGCCAUGCCGCGUGCAGGAUGAAGGCCUUCGGGUUGUAAACUGCUUUUGUACGGAACGAAAAGACUCUUUCUAAUAAAGAGGGUCCAUGACGGUACCGUAAGAAUAAGCACCGGCUAACUACGUG
rnacentral:rRNA from 1 species